CAACGAGAGCAUACAGGUCGCAGUGGUGGGUAGUAUAUGGGGCUUUGGUGACAAAACGGAUGGCACUGUGAUCGACUACAUCCAAUUUGCUGAGUAGAGGGUUGGGGGCUAUUUUGUAAAUGACAUCGCCGAAGUCAAGGAUCGGUAGGAUAGUCAGUUUUACGAGGGUAUGUUUGGAGGCAUGAGUGAAGGAGGCUUUGUUGCGAAAUAGGAAGCCGAUUCUAGAUUUAAUUUUGGAUUGGAGAUGCUUAAUGUGAGUCUGGAAAGAGAGUUUACAGUCUAACCAGACACCUAGUUAUUUGUAGUUGUCCACAUAUUCUAGGUCAGAACCGUCCAGAGUAGUGAUGCUAGCUGGGCGGGAGGGUGCGGGCAGCAAUCAGUUGAAGAGCAUGCACUUAGUUUUACUAGCAUUUAAAAGCAGUUGGAGGCCACAGAAGGAGUGUUGUAUGGCGCAGAAGCUCGUUGGGAGGUUUGUUAGCACAGUGUCCAAAGAAGGGCCAGAUGUAUACAGAAUGGUGUCGUUGCUGCAGGGGUUGCUGAGAUGUUGGCAGGGGUAGGGGUAGCCGUGGAAAAAUGCUAAUUGAAAUGAUCGAUUAUUGUAGAUUUAUCGGUGGUGACAGUGUGUCAUAGCCUCAGUGCUUCCUAGCCUCAGUGCAGUGGGCAGCUGGGAGGAGGUGCUCUUAUUCUCCAUGGACUUUACAGUGUCCCAAAACUUUUUGGAAUUAGUGCUACAGGAAGCAAAUUUCUGUUUUUGAAAAAGCUAGCCUUAGCUUCCUAACUGACUGAGUAUAUUGGUUCCUGACUUCCCUGAAAAGUUGCAUAUCGCGGGGGCUAUUCGAUGCUAAUGCAGAACGCCACAGGAUGUUUUUGUGCUGGUCAAGGGCAGUCAAGUCUGGGGUGAACCAAGGGCUAUAUAUGUUCUUAGUUCUACAUUUUUUUGAAUGGGGCAUGCUUAUUUAAGAUGGAGAGGAAAGCACUUUUAAAGAGCAACCAGGCAUCCUCUACUGACGGGAUGAGGUAAAUAUCCUUCCAGGAUACCCGGGCCAGGUCGAUAAGAAAGGCCUGCUCGCUGAAGUGUUUUAGGGAGCGUUUGACAGUGAUGAGGGCUGGUCGUUUGACCGCGGACUCAUUACGGAUGCAGGCAAUGAGGCAGUGAUUGCUGAGAUCCUGGUUGAAGACAGCAGAGGUAUAUUUAGAGGGCAAGUUGGUCAGGAUGAUAUCUAAGAGGUUACAGAUUUAGGGUUGUACCUGUUAGGUUCCUUGAUAAUUUGUAUGAGAUUGAGGACAUCUAGCUUAGAUUGUAGGACGACCGGGAUGUUAAGCAUAUCCCAGUUUAGGUCACCUAACAGUACGAACUCUGAAGAUAGAUGGGGGCCAGUCAAUUCACAUAUGGUGUCCAGGGCACAGCUGGGGGCUGAAGGGGGGUCUAUAACAAGCGGCAACAGUGAGAGACUUGGACCUCAAUUCCUUCAACCUCAUGGCUUGGUUUUGCUCUGACAUGCACUAUCAACUGUGGGACUUUAUACAGACUUUCCAAAUCAUGUCCAAUCAAUUGAAUUUACCACAGGUGGACUCUGUAGAAACAACUCAAGGAUGAUCAAUGGAAACAGGAUGCACCUGAGCUCAAUUUAGAGUCUCAUAUCAAAGGGUCUGAAUACUUAUGUAAAUAAGGUUUGCAAAGCUCUUAGAGACUUACCCAGAUAAACUCACAGCUGUAAUUUGCUGCCAAAGGCAUGCGUGAGAGUAUGUCCCUGUCGGCUUGCCUGCUACCUUACAGGCCCAGGUCUAGUAUGUUUAUAGGGACUUAGCUUGUCUUCUUCUUUCCUUUCUGUCGAUGUAGAAGGUGUUGUUUUUCAUCAGUGGCCUCUUGUAUUUUUCUGUUCUUCCUCACAAUAAAU
rnacentral:lncRNA from 1 species